GUCUGCGUGGCGCAGUUGGUCAGCGCGUAGGUCUCAUACCAAUUACGUGUGAUCUCGCAUAUGCGAGAAAGAGAUCCUGAGGUCGUGGGUUCGAACCCCCCCGCGGACA
rnacentral:tRNA from 2 species